rnacentral:rRNA from 1 species
UAGGGAAUUUUUCACAAUGGGCGAAAGCCUGAUGGAGCAAUGCCGCGUGACUGAUGAAGGUCUUCGGAUUGUAAAAGUCUGUUGUAAGAGAAGAAGUGCUAGAAUAGGAAAUAAUUUUAGUAUCGACCAUACCUUACCAGAAAGCCACGGCUAACUAUGUGCCAGCAGCCGCGGUAAUACAUAGGUGGCAAGCGUUAUCCGGAUUUAUUGGGCGUAAAGCGUGCGUAGACGGUUUUGCAAGUCUGAGGUUAAAUUUAGGGGCUAAACCCCUAACCGCCUUGGAAACUACAUUACUAGAGUAUAGGAGAGGUUAGUGGAAUUUCAUGUGUAGCGGUGGAAUGCGUAGAUAUAUGAAGGAACACCAGUGGCGAAGGCGGCUAACUGGCCUAUUACUGACGUUGUGGCACGAAAGCGUGGGGAGCAAACA